rnacentral:rRNA from 1 species
UACGUAGGGCGCAAGCGUUGUCCGGAAUUAUUGGGCGUAAAGAGCUCGUAGGCGGUUUGUCGCGUCUGCUGUGAAAUCCCGAGGCUCAACCUCGGGCUUGCAGUGGGUACGGGCAGACUAGAGUGCGGUAGGGGAGACUGGAAUUCCUGGUGAUAGCGGUGAAAUGCGCAGAUAUCAGGAGGAACACCGGUGGCGAAGGCGGGUCUCUGGGCAGUAACUGACGCUGGAGGAGCGAAAGCGUGGGGAGCGAACAGG